rnacentral:rRNA from 1 species
UACGGAGGGUGCAAGCGUUAUCCGGAUUCACUGGGUUUAAAGGGUGCGUAGGUGGGCAGGUAAGUCAGUGGUGAAAUCUCCGGGCUUAACCCGGAAACUGCCAUUGAUACUAUUAGUCUUGAAUACCGUGGAGGUCAGCGGAAUAUGUCAUGUAGCGGUGAAAUGCUUAGAUAUGACAUAGAACACCAAUUGCGAAGGCAGCUGGCUACACGAAUAUUGACACUCAGGCACGAAAGCGUGGGGAUCAAACAGG